AGCCUCCUACCGCCCUGCGCCGCCCGGGCCUCUCGGCCCCUCUGGCCGGGCGCCACCCGCGCGCCUCUGACGCCGCGUCAGGCAGCCGCUGGGGAGGACGCGGCGGGAGCCUCAGAUGCCACCUACUCCCCGGCCUCUCUCCCAGUUGAUGCUUCUAUUUUAGGCAGCACAUUAUUUCCUGCUGUGAUUUUUUCAGCCUUCUAAUUUGGGCUCUGAGAGGACUUCAGUGGGAUUCCCUGCCUCGAUUUCUCCAGGACUAUGAUAUGGAAAGACUAGAACAUUCAACUAUACACUUUCUGGUUCCCACCUCCACCAUCAUGAGUUCCAUUCCAAACUCUGGCUCCUACCCAUGGAGUUCAAGCCACAGCUUGAUUCAGUUGAUCAACCUGGGGAUGGAGGUAUCAGGACUAGCACCUGGACCAUUCUGCCUCCUCUGCCUGUAACAUCCUCUUGCUCUGCUUGUGAACUCUUCUCCUUCAAAACCCAGCGGUUAUGUCACCGCUUCUAAAACCUUGAACUGAUUCCCCAUGUAGUCGGCCAGCUACUUUUUAAAUUUAAAAAAGCCCAACCAGAAUAAACAGGAUAGCUAAAACGCUGAA